AGAGUUUGAUCCUGGCUCAGAUUGAACGCUGGCGGCAGGCCUAACACAUGCAAGUCGAGCGGCAGCGGGAAGUAGCUUGCUACUUUGCCGGCGAGCGGCGGACGGGUGAGUAAUGUCUGGGAAACUGCCUGAUGGAGGGGGAUAACUACUGGAAACGGUAGCUAAUACCGCAUGACGUCGCAAGACCAAAGUGGGGGACCUUCGGGCCUCACGCCAUCGGAUGUGCCCAGAUGGGAUUAGCUAGUAGGUGAGGUAAUGGCUCACCUAGGCGACGAUCCCUAGCUGGUCUGAGAGGAUGACCAGCCACACUGGAACUGAGACACGGUCCAGACUCCUACGGGAGGCAGCAGUGGGGAAUAUUGCACAAUGGGCGCAAGCCUGAUGCAGCCAUGCCGCGUGUGUGAAGAAGGCCUUAGGGUUGUAAAGCACUUUCAGCGAGGAGGAAGGCGUUGUAGUUAAUAGCUGCAACGAUUGACGUUACUCGCAGAAGAAGCACCGGCUAACUCCGUGCCAGCAGCCGCGGUAAUACGGAGGGUGCAAGCGUUAAUCGGAAUUACUGGGCGUAAAGCGCACGCAGGCGGUUUGUUAAGUCAGAUGUGAAAUCCCCGAGCUUAACUU
rnacentral:rRNA from 1 species